GCCGCCGUAGCUAAGCCCGGUAUAGCGGCGGGCUGUUAACCCGUAGGUCCCGUCGAGCCCCCGCGAGGGGGUUCGGGAUAGGGUUCAAAUCCCGGCGGCGGCGCCA
rnacentral:tRNA from 1 species